GGCAGUGUGGUUUAGUGGAAAACAGCAUCUGCUUUGGAGUUGGAAUGGCCUGGGUUCAAAUCCCAGUUGAGCCA
rnacentral:tRNA from 1 species